rnacentral:rRNA from 1 species
AGUAACGGCGAGUGAAGCGGCAACAGCUCAAAUUUGAAAUCUGGCCUCUUUCGGGGUCCGAGUUGUAAUUUGUAGAGUAUUUUUUGGGUACCGCGCUGGUUUAAAUUUCUUGGAACAGAAUGUCAGAGAGGGUGAGAAUCCCGUCUUGGAUCGGCGUAGGGCCCGUGUAAAACUCCUUCGACGAGUCGAGUUGUUUGGGA